rnacentral:lncRNA from 1 species
AAAUUAUUGAUUUUGAGCCCCUUCGAUCACUAGGCAAAUGAUAUUGAAAAAUCCAAAAUUUAUUUUCUAGGUACUUCAAAUACUCUAGAUCAACUCUAACAGAGCCGAUCGUCGAUUCGAAAGUCCGAACAUCGAAAACAACUUGGAAGCACGGAGGCCUCCGUGCUUCCAUAAGCAUACCAGCCAAACUCUCUCUCUCUCUCUCUCUCUCUAUAUAUAUAUAUAUAUAUAUAUUUGAGAGAAAGGUAGCACGCUAUCUACUUCGUUUAUUACAUCGCCGGAGUUUGCCUAU